rnacentral:rRNA from 1 species
ACAUGCAAGCCGAGCGGUAUGGAUCUAUUCGGGAUCCAGAGAGCGGCGUACGGGUGCGGAACACGUGUGCAACCUGCCUUUAUCAGGGGGAUAGCCUUUCGAAAGGAAGAUUAAUACCCCAUAAUAUUUAGAAUGGCAUCAUUUUAAAUUGAAAACUCCGGUGGAUAGAGAUGGGCACGCGCAAGAUUAGAUAGUUGGUGAGGUAACGGCUCACCAAGUCUGCGAUCUUUAGGGGGCCUGAGAGGGUGAUCCCCCACACUGGUACUGAGACACGGACCAGACUCCUACGGGAGGCAGCAGUGAGGAAUAUUGGACAAUGGGUGCGAGCCUGAUCCAGCCAUCCCGCGUGAAGGACGACGGCCCUAUGGGUUGUAAACUUCUUUUGUAUAGGGAUAAACCUACCCUCGUGAGGGUAGCUGAAGGUACUAUACGAAUAAGCACCGGCUAACUCCGUGCCAGCAGCCGCGGUAAUACGGAGGGUGCAAGCGUUAUCCGGAUUUAUUGGGUUUAAAGGGUCCGUAGGCUGAUGUGUAAGUCAGUGGUGAAAUCUCACAGCUUAACUGUGAAACUGCCAUUGAUACUGCAUGUCUUGAGUGUUGUUGAAGUAGCUGGAAUAAGUAGUGUAGCGGUGAAAUGCAUAGAUAUUACUUAGAACACCCAUUGCGAAGGCAGGUUACUAAGCAACAACUGACGCUGAUGGACGAAAGCGUGGGGAGCGAACAGGAUUAGAUACCCUGGUAGUCCACGCCGUAAACGAUGCUAACUCGUUUUUGGGUUUUCGGAUUCAGAGACUAAGCGAAAGUGAUAAGUUAGCCACCUGGGGAGUACGAACGCAAGUUUGAAACUCAAAGGAAUUGACGGGGGCCCGCACAAGCGGUGGAUUAUGUGGUUUAAUUCGAUGAUACGCGAGGAACCUUACCAAGGCUUAAAUGGGAAAUGACAGGUUUAGAAAUAGACUUUUCUUCGGACAUUUUUCAAGGUGCUGCAUGGUUGUCGUCAGCUCGUGCCGUGAGGUGUUAGGUUAAGUCCUGCAACGAGCGCAACCCCUGUCACUAGUUGCCAUCAUUAAGUUGGGGACUCUAGUGAGACUGCCUACGCAAGUAGAGAGGAAGGUGGGGAUGACGUCAAAUCAUCACGGCCCUUACGCCUUGGGCCACACACGUAAUACAAUGGCCGGUACAGAGGGCAGCUACACAGUGAUGUGAUGCAAAUCUCGAAAGCCGGUCUCAGUUCGGAUUGGAGUCUGCAACUCGACUCUAUGAAGCUGGAAUCGCUAGUAAUCGCGCAUCAGCCAUGGCGCGGUGAAUACGUUCCCGGGCCUUGUACACACCGCCCGUCAAGCCAUGGAAGUCUGGGGUACCUUGAAGUCGGUGACCGUAACAGGAGCU